GACGAACGCUGGCGGCGUGCCUAAUACAUGCAAGUCGAGCGCAGGAAGCCGUCUGAACCCUUCGGGGGGACGAACGGUGGAAUGAGCGGCGGACGGGUGAGUAACACGUAAAGAACCUGCCCAUAGGUCUGGGAUAACCACGAGAAAUCGGGGCUAAUACCGGAUGUGUCAUCGGACCGCAUGGUCCGCUGAUGAAAGGCGACCCGGCGUCGCCCAUGGAUGGCUUUGCGGUGCAUUAGCUAGUUGGUGGGGUAACGGCCCACCAAGGCGACGAUGCAUAGCCGACCUGAGAGGGUGAUCGGCCACACUGGGACUGAGACACGGCCCAGACUCCUACGGGAGGCAGCAGUAGGGAAUCUUCCACAAUGGACGAAAGUCUGAUGGAGCAACGCCGCGUGAACGAUGAAGGCUUUCGGGUCGUAAAGUUCUGUUGUAAGGGAAGAACAAGUGCCGCAGGCAAUGGCGGCACCUUGACGGUACCUUGCGAGAAAGCCACGGCUAACUACGUGCCAGCCGCCGCAGUAA
rnacentral:rRNA from 1 species